AAAACGUGGAAGAAAGGACGCCGUUAAAAGAUGGCCGCUGUGAAACGACAACUUCAAUGUGUCUCUUCGCCCACUGGCCUUUCUACACGGUGGUGGGUUUUUGUUUGGGGUAAUCCGGCGAAAUUUCAGAGAGCAGGAAAUACCUCUGAUGCUUCAGAUGUUCAUGGACUACAAUUCCCAUCAUCCCCUGCUGGCAUGGCCAGAGUUGGACACCCCUGUGGGCCGAGACAAAUCACCCUCCAUUUCUGACCUUACACAGAAAGUUCUGCAGCGCUGUGGGAUAUUUGUUGACGUUCUUUACCUCCAGUUGGGUUGCCGAGCUCUGUGUCCUCUGUGGAAGGGCAGACAGUCAAAGGCGUUGAUGCUCCCCAGCGAGAAAAAAUCCCUUCUUACGCAACCCCAACCUGUUUUCUGUGGCCAUCUCCUCCCACUUGGUCUUCAUUGAUAGGCAAGAGGCAAAUAAUCUCCUGUUGACAUCCAGCCCCGGGGAAAUUAACCAUCUCAGUAACUGAGGCCCAGAUUGACAGAGCUGAUGAGCAACCAUAAAGGAAUGUAUUCUGACUCCAGAGGAAGCCUCUUCUCUGUGUCUUUCUGUGCACAUGAAUAAAACUUUGUUCGUC